rnacentral:rRNA from 1 species
UACAGAGGGGGCAAGCGUUAUUCGGAAUUACUGGGCGUAAAGGGCUCGUAGGCGGCCAACUAAGUCAGACGUGAAAUCCCUCGGCUUAACCGGGGAACUGCGUCUGAUACUGGAUGGCUUGAGUUUGGGAGAGGGAUGCGGAAUUCCAGGUGUAGCGGUGAAAUGCGUAGAUAUCUGGAGGAACACCGGUGGCGAAGGCGGCAUCCUGGGACCAACACUGACGCUGAUGAGCGAAAGCCAGGGGAGCAAACGGG